UACGAAGGGGGCUAGCGUUGCUCGGAAUCACUGGGCGUAAAGGGUGCGUAGGCGGGUCUUUAAGUCAGGGGUGAAAUCCUGGAGCUCAACUCCAGAACUGCCUUUGAUACUGAAGAUCUUGAGUUCGGGAGAGGUGAGUGGAACUGCGAGUGUAGAGGUGAAAUUCGUAGAUAUUCGCAAGAACACCAGUGGCGAAGGCGGCUCACUGGCCCGGUUCUGACGCUGAGGCGCGAAAGCGUGGGGAGCAAACAGG
rnacentral:rRNA from 1 species